AUUGAACGCUGGCGGCAGGCCUAACACAUGCAAGUCGAGCGAGCGGCGGACGGGUUCGUAAUGCCUGGGAAUUGCCCAGUCGAGGGGGAUAACAGUUGGAAACGACUGCUAAUACCGCAUACGAUUGUCUUGCCCAUGUGGGAUUAGCUAGUUGGUGAGGUAAUGGCUCACCAAGGCGACGAUCCCUAGCUGGUCUGAGAGGAUGGUCAACCCGACUGGAACUGAGAAAAGGUCCAGACUCCUACGGGAGGCAGCAGUGGGAAAUAUUGCACAAUGUGGGAAACCCUGAUGCAGCCAUGCCGCGGGUGGGAAGAAGGCCUACUGGUUGUAAAGCACUUUCAGCGAGGAGGCGUUACUCGCAGAAGAAGCACCGGCUAACUCCGUGCCAGCAGCCGCGGUAAUAC
rnacentral:rRNA from 1 species